rnacentral:rRNA from 1 species
CCUACGGGAGGCAGCAGUGAGGAAUAUUGGUCAAUGGACGAGAGUCUGAACCAGCCAAGUCGCGUGAAGGAUGACUGUACUGUGGAUUGUAAACUUCUUUUGUAAGGGAAUAAAGAGUUGGACGUGUGGGCUGUUGUGUGUACCAUAUGAAUAAGCAUCGGCUAACUCCGUGCCAGCAGCCGCGGUAAUACGGAGGGUGCAAGCGUUACUCGGAAUCACUGGGCGUAAAGGGCGCGUAGGCGGGCUAGCAAGUCAGAGGUGAAAUCCUAGGGCUUAACCCUAGGACUGCCUUUGAAACUGGUAGUCUAGAGUAUGAGAGAGGUAUGCGGAAUUCGUGGUGUAGGGGUAAAAUCCGUAGAGAUCAAGAAGAACACUGAUUGCGAAGGCGACCUGCUAGAUCAUAACUGACGCUGAUGCGCGAAAGCGUGGGUAGCGAACAGGAUUAGAUACCCCUGUAGUC